rnacentral:rRNA from 1 species
AUUGAACGCUGGCGGCAUGCCUUACACAUGCAAGUCGAACGGUAACAGGUCUUCGGAUGCUGACGAGUGGCGAACGGGUGAGUAAUACAUCGGAACGUGCCCGAGAGUGGGGGAUAACGAAGCGAAAGCUUUGCUAAUACCGCAUACGAUCUCAGGAUGAAAGCAGGGGACCGCAAGGCCUUGCGCUCACGGAGCGGCCGAUGGCAGAUUAGGUAGUUGGUGGGAUAAAAGCUUACCAAGCCGACGAUCUGUAGCUGGUCUGAGAGGACGACCAGCCACACGGGGACUGAGACACGGCCCAGACUCCUACGGGAGGCAGCAGUGGGGAAUUUUGGACAAUGGGCGCAAGCCUGAUCCAGCCAUGCCGCGUGCAGGAUGAAGGCCUUCGGGUUGUAAACUGCUUUUGUACGGAACGAAAAGACUCCGGUUAAUGCCUGGGGUCCAUGACGGUACCGUAAGAAUAAGCACCGGCUAACUACGUGCCAGCCGCCGCCGUAAUAC